UGUGCUGGGUUACAUCAUAUCAUAGUGUAAUGCCUUUAAAUCAUUAAUCUGCCUUGCUUCUGGACUAGUGCCAGAAAAACCAAUGAAGGCCAGGCUGAGUUCAGAUCAAACCAGAGGACAUUGUGGUUACAUUUAUGUUUUUUCAGAGGAUCUCUCACCUGCAACCACAAAUCUGCCUUUAUUUGGCUUGAACAUGAUCCAAAAUUACCUCAGAGGUCAACAGUGCAUGUCUUACGGAUUAGUGAAAACUACUGACUAACCUAACGUAAUGCAUGAUGACUGUUAUUAUUCCGGGAAAUAAGGGUGGCUGUAGUCUGUUGUUUUGUAAUAAAAUCUAACAUUAAUUUUUCCCAUUUGCAAAAAUACCCAGGAAAAAAAGGGCCAGAAAAAAAAAAAAAAAGGCAUGGGAGUGUUCUGCCCUCUUCAUCUUGUUAAAUGCCACAACCCUUGCUACAAAGAAUUCCUUGUAGGCAGCACUCCAAAUCCGCUUUACAAAUGGGCAUUAAUGAAACUUCCCAGCACCUCCACAAGGCCCCAGGGACACAGAAAUUCACAGGCUGACUGGAAGCCACCCUAAUGCUGAGGGGCAAGAAGGAAGAAAUCAUCAGCCAUCAUUAUAGCAUGUGGCCCAGACAGAGCACACCAUGAUCCCUCAGGUGGAAAAGCCUCUCCAUUUGUUUGCCCAUGUGUGGGGAAAACACUGACUUUCAGCAAGAAGCAGCUCUGCAGGGAAUGGUGGGGAAGGCGCCAUAUGGUGCAGGCGGAACAUCUGUGAAUCUCUGACGCUGCAGUUCUGCUUCAUGGGCAUGAGUGCAUUUCACACGUGUGCUAAGGAGAAAGGAAUAUGACACAAGGACUUUCCAGGAGCCUUGAUGUAUGAGAAAUAGAAUGAAUUUGCUAGAGGAGACUGUAAAAAAAUCCGACACUACAUUGUGUUAAUAAUGGAACCGUGUUGCCCAUAUUUGCUGCCUUUCCUGUUGAAUUGCUGUGUCUAUUUUCUAUUGCCAUCGUACAGCACUGAAAAUAAAUCUCGUGGCGAACAGGGAUGGCUCAUCUUACAACUUGUAGAAAGGUUAAUUAAAUGUGCGUGGUGCUGGCACUUGUUCACAGCAGCCUGAACCCGGGGAUGACAGAUUGCCGGGGGCAUGUGAGCAGCUUCCUCCCUCAGCCCCACACAGCCCACAGCUCACGGAGCCGCACAGGGCACAGUGUUUGGAGAAUGUGUCCUCUGGGCAGCAACUCCUCUGCUACAGCUAAAGUUAUUCACAUACACAGGGACUUGAUGCAAAAGGGAGUUCAGCGGCUGUGUGUUUCAGACAAUGUUUUUGUGGCCUUUUCCUGACUUUUCAGAAGGCUCAUCGGUCUGCUUACAACCACCUCUUUUUCUUUUGGACUUGUCACCUUUCACUUGCAAUGAUCCUGCUGUUGUGCAGCGGUAAUGAUGUGGACAAGCACUUGAGUGGAGGCUGAUGCACACUUUGAACACAAUCUCUCUUCUUGGUUUUGCCCACAUAGCAGGGCACAGCUCUGUGUUCAGAACCACUGGUAACAUCAAGCACCCAGACACUCCCAGGGACUGGCAAUGCUAAGAAUGACCUAACAUUUAAUGCACUUCACAGGGACUGCUGAGACACAGUUCAGCUGUUGGCUCUGUAGAAAAUCCAGUGAUUUCUUAGCUAAAAAGUACAACCAUAAUCUUUAACUAUAAGAAUAGCAAAUACAGGAGCAGACAGUCAUUGCUACUACUUAGGAUUGUAGUUCAGUGCCUGCAGUGCCUUGCUGAGACUCUUGCAUUUGUGGCUUCCUUGCCCCUUCAUUUUUUGCUCUGCUUAGCCCUAAAAAUGGCAUGUGGGAGUGUAUUGGGAUAAUUAAGGAGAUUUAGGAGUAAAAUCCUAGUCAAGUCUGUGAGAAAAUCUCUGUUAAGUGGCACCAGCUGAAGACUCCAUUCCCACAUAUGGGAAUACAUACACAUGAGCAACCU